rnacentral:rRNA from 1 species
UGGGGAAUAUUGCACAAUGGGGGAAACCCUGAUGCAGCGACGCCGCGUGAACGAAGAAGGUAUUCGUAUCGUAAAGUUCUGUCCUAUGGGAAGAUAAUGACAGUACCAUAGAAGAAAGCUCCGGCUAAAUACGUGCCAGCAGCCGCGGUAAUACGUAUGGAGCGAGCGUUGUCCGGAAUUAUUGGGCGUAAAGGGUACGCAGGCGGUUUAAUAAGUCGAAUGUUAAAGAUCGGGGCUCAACCCCGCAAAGCAUUGGAAACUGAUAAACUUGAGUAGUGGAGAGGAAAGUGGAAUUCCUAGUGUAGUGGUGAAAUACGUAGAUAUUAGGAGGAAUACCAGCAGCGAAGGCGACUUUCUGGACACAAACUGACGCUGAGGUACGAAAGCGUGGGGAGCAAACAGG